UGGGCUGUAGCUCAGCGGCAGAGCACUAGCCUACCACAAUGAGGCCCUGGGUUCAAUCCCCAGCACCACAC
rnacentral:tRNA from 1 species